rnacentral:rRNA from 1 species
AGCGAACGCUGGCGGCAGGCCUAAUACAUGCAAGUCGAGCGCACCUUCGGGUGAGCGGCGGACGGGUGAGUAACGCGUGGGAACGUGCCCUUUGGUACGGGAUAACUGAGGGAAACUUCAGCUAAUACCGUAUGUGCCCUACGGGGGAAAGAUUUAUCGCCAUUGGAGCGGCCCGCGUUGGAUUAGGUAGUUGGUGAGGUAAAGGCUCACCAAGCCUACGAUCCAUAGAUGGUCUGAGAGGAUGAGCAGCCACACUGGGACUGAGACACGGCCCAGGAUCCUACGGGAGGCAGCAGUAGGGAAUCUUGCACAAUGGGCGAAAGCAUGACGCAGCCAUGCCGCGUGAAUGAUGAAGGUCUUAGGAUUGUAAAAUUCUUUCACCGGGGAAGAUAAUGACGGUACCCGGAGAAGAAGCCCCGGCUAACUUCGUGCCAGCAGCCGCCGUAACAC